rnacentral:rRNA from 1 species
UGGGGAAUUUUGGACAAUGGGCGAAAGCCUGAUCCAGCAAUGCCGCGUGUGUGAAGAAGGCCUUCGGGUUGUAAAGCACUUUUGUCCGGAAAGAAAUCCUUGGCUCUAAUACAGUCGGGGGAUGACGGUACCGGAAGAAUAAGCACCGGCUAACUACGUGCCAGCAGCCGCGGUAAUACGUAGGGUGCAAGCGUUAAUCGGAAUUACUGGGCGUAAAGCGUGCGCAGGCGGUUUGCUAAGACCGAUGUGAAAUCCCCGGGCUCAACCUGGGAACUGCAUUGGUGACUGGCAGGCUAGAGUAUGGCAGAGGGGGGUAGAAUUCCACGUGUAGCAGUGAAAUGCGUAGAGAUGUGGAGGAAUACCGAUGGCGAAGGCAGCCCCCUGGGCCAAUACUGACGCUCAUGCACGAAAGCGUGGGGAGCAAACAGGAUUAGAUACCCUGGUAGUCCACGCCCUAAAACGAUGUCAACUAGUUGUUGGGGAUUCAUUUCCUUAGUAACGUAGCUAACGCGUGAAGUUGACCGCCUGGGGAGUACGGUCGCAAGAUUAAAACUCAAAUGAAUUGACGGGG